UUUUAUCUUGAUGUAACAAUGCUUUUGAGUGGAUUUCAGGUUAAAUCCCAAGUAAUAGAAUUGGAGAAGCUAACGCUAAAACUUGAAAAUCUUUUCAAAUCAACAGAUUCAGAUUCUUUGGUAAUUAAACUGUAAAUAAUCUGUAUCUUAAAGAAUCAACCUCUUACAAAAAUGUACAUAAUGAAGUUAUAAAUAAUAAGAACUUAGAUGUCUAAAAACAACAAAAAACAAAAUGAACUUUGCCAGAUGAAAAACAAAUUAAACAUGAGUCUGCAUGUAUUACAGUUGUCUGUACUCGACAAAAUGCCCCAGCAUGGUCACAACCAAUGACUGAAACCAGUAAGCAAAAAGAAAACAGUAUACACUUCAUGUUUCAAUUGUAUAAAUCU
rnacentral:lncRNA from 1 species